CGCAAGCCUGACGGAGCAAUACCGCGUGAGGGAGGAAGGCUUUUGGGUUGUAAACCUCUUUUCUCAAGGAAGAAGAAAGUGACGGUACUUGAGGAAUCAGCAUCGGCUAACUCCGUGCCAGCAGCCGCGGUAAUACGGAGGAUGCAAGCGUUAUCCGGAAUCAUUGGGCGUAAAGCGUCCGCAGGUGGCCUAUCAAGUCUGCUGUCAAAGACAGAAGCUUAACUUCUGGCAGGCGGUGGAAACUGGUAAGCUAGAGUACGGUAGGGGUUGAGGGAAUUCCCAGUGUAGCGGUGAAAUGCGUAGAUAUUGGGAAGAACACCAGUGGCGAAGGCGCUCAACUGGGCCGUAACUGACACUCAGGGACGAAAGCUAGGGUAGCG
rnacentral:rRNA from 1 species